GGCACUGUUGAUGGCCUGGUCGAUGACGUGGGGCUGAAUGAGCUCGCCUGCUCCUCCAUCGUAGGAGAGGUCGGACAGACGUUUAUCACCUGAAGAGCCAGAGAGAGGAGCAAUGUGAAGAACAAAUAGAAACAGACCAACUGGGCUUGAGGCACUGACAGUGGUCAGACAAAGAAAAGAGCACCACCUACAGGAGACCCAAGGAGAAGAACUGACGGCAGAACUGGCACUGAUGAUCCCUGGAAAGUCCAGUGCCAUAAACUGGGAGAACAUGAACCUACAAAAAGCAGCCUGCUACUGUGGGAAUGCGGGGUCACUGCACUAAAAGCAUCCCGAGCGCCAGAACAAGCCGGAGGAUGGAGCGUCUCCGGGGCAGAGAGCGAUCCAGCAGCCUGCAGGAGGGUUUCACAGCAGAGUGACACUCCAUCUCUCCAUGCUCCCCCUGCCCCGCCGACUUCUGGCGCUCUGAUCGAACAAGAGCCUUUCAGACUCAGCCUGCCAGUUCCGUAAUGCACCAUUGCCUAGGUCAAUUUGAUCUGAAAAUCUCAUUUUUUACUCUUCUUCAUCUCUAAAAUAAGAGCGGCACAUCACAAUGCAAAUUCAGCCUCAUUUGAAUAAAGCGGAGGAAACACUUUGUGUUGAGAGCCAGUCUUCCUGAUCAGCGCUUCUGGAAUAAACCAAUAUCCAGCCUCUCUGAGUGUUGUGGCAUUCUGUGAGAAGGUUUUAAUAUGGCUUUUUUUUCAAAGGCCCCCCAUAAAAUAAGAGUCACCAGUGAAGCAGCAAAAAUAUAUAAAAGAGGAAAUUCAUUAAAAAUGCAUUUCAGGAGCUAAGACUCACCACAGAAUAUUUUCUAUUUAAAUAGGAGGCACUUCAUUAUAUCCUUUAUUGUAGUUUCUUUUGCAUUUACAUUAGUCUGGUGUUCCUUUCUUCCAUUUUGAGUUUCAUUAGUUUCUAAAGCUUGACAGUUAAGUGCCUUUUUCAAAAAUGUUCCCCACCACUGGUUUGGUUCCAUUACAAUAGAAUAUCAAUUUUGAAAUUUGAAAAUACUUUUAAUAGCCAGAUAAUUGUCACUUUGUGGAGAUUCCAUAUAAUUGCAGCAGAUAGCCUUUUCCUCCUUUUUUUCGGACCAAGUUGUUCUCUGAUACUUUAUCGCAAGAUAAUUUGACCAGUUGCUUGUC